AUAUCUUGCUCGGCCUUUUGGCGAAGAUAAACUGUAGCAUCUAUUCUUAUCAUUUCAACAUCUGAUAUUGAUAUGUGGGCCAUUGGCUCACUGGUCAUUAAUCUUAUUUUUUAUGGGGAAAUACCCAUUAUUGUGGCCUUUGAGCAUUGCCUUUGCACUACAAGCCUUGGGCUGGCACACCCCUCCAAUCCUUGUUAAAACUG